rnacentral:rRNA from 1 species
GGGUGGGGAGCAAACAGGCUUAGAUACCCUGGUAGUCCACCCCGUAAACGUUGGGAACUAGUUGUGGGGUCCUUUCCACGGAUUCCGUGACGCAGCUAACGCAUUAAGUUCCCCGCCUGGGGAGUACGGCCGCAAGGCUAAAACUCAAAGGAAUUGACGGGGACCCGCACAAGCGGCGGAGCAUGCGGAUUAAUUCGAUGCAACGCGAAGAACCUUACCAAGGCUUGACAUACACGAGAACACCCUAGAAAUAGGGGACUCUUUGGACACUCGUGAACAGGUGGUGCAUGGUUGUCGUCAGCUCGUGUCGUGAGAUGUUGGGUUAAGUCCCGCAACGAGCGCAACCCUCGUUCUAUGUUGCCAGCACGUAAUGGUGGGAACUCAUGGGAUACUGCCGGGGUCAACUCGGAGGAAGGUGGGGAUGACGUCAAAUCAUCAUGCCCCUUAUGUCUUGGGCUUCACGCAUGCUACAAUGGCCGGUACAAAGGGCUGCAAUACCGUGAGGUGGAGCGAAUCCCAAAAAGCCGGUCCCAGUUCGGAUUGAGGUCUGCAACUCGACCUCAUGAAGUCGGAGUCGCUAGUAAUCGCAGAUCAGCAACGCUGCGGUGAAUACGUUCCCGGGUCUUGUACACACCGCCCGUCAAGUCAUGAAAGUCGGUAACACCUGAAGCCGGUGGCCCAACCCUUGUGGGGGGAGCCGUCGAAGGUGGAUCGGUAAUAG